UAAAGUUUUCAACUAAGGAAACGUGUUGCAGUUAUGGAAGAAUUUAAAGUGAACAAGAAUGAGUUGGGAGAGGUUUGUUAACUCAAUUCUUAGAAUUGCUUGAAUUGUGUGAAUUGAGUUGUUUAGGAAUGAGGCCCCUUGGGAUAUUUAUAGACUCACGUGGCGGACAUUAGGGCAUUGAGGUCGGUCAUGACUUCUUCUAGAGCACUAAAUUGCUAAAUUGCACCCAAGUAUGCCUUGCGUUUCUCACUCUCCUCCUCAUCCUCGCGGUUUUGAGAGGUAGAGAUGUUUUAUUAGCAAAUCUACAGAGAGAGAGUAGAGUACAGUAGAGUGAAAGUAAAAUAGCAUAAACUUACCGAACCUUCGAAUUUUGGUUCAAUAACUCCCUCCCUCCUCUAAGUCUCCUUAGCCCGAAUCUCGUCCCUUUUUUUAUUUUUAUUUUUAUUUUUAUUUUUGCUGCAAAUCUUACGAUUGAAUCAUCUACAAGCAACAAUCUCCUGAAAUGAUUUCCGCUAUCAAUCUCCGUCCACCUCGUGGCGAGAUUCACAAUUUCCGAUUCCAACCUUCGCCGUCGCCGACCCUUUUCCGGAACCGAAUGCCCCGCCAAAUCACGUACUGCAGAAAGAAACUCAGCGACGCGGAUCUGGCCUCCGAUCUUGCAACGGAAGUGGCAAAAAUUAACACUAAUUUGAUUCAGAGAGAGGAGGCGAUGAAGAAGAGCAGAGCGUUUUUGUUUACAGAGCUGUGCGAAUUUCUAGGGCUAAAAUCGGAGGAGACGAAGAGAAAGUGGAAGAAGAUGGAGGAAGAGGCGAAAUUGAGAUUGGUUAAAGAGUUUGUUUCGGAGUGGGGGUUCAAUUUUCAGCCAUUGUCGGGUAGGUGUGUGAAGGAAAUGGUGGAAGAAUAUGUUAAUGGAGAAAAUUUGUAUGGGAUUUCUUCUGCGUCCUCGUUGAUUUCUUCGUUGAAGAAAACGAUGGGAUUGUGAAACACAGAUAAUUAGAUGCAUUCAUGGGAUGAAUUUUGCAUUAGGGUCUUUAAUUCCCAAAUUCCAUUGAGAUAUUGUAAUGGGAUAUCGGUUCUGAACAAGGGUGACUAUGUGAGGCCUAUAGACAAAGCUCUCAUCUCCUUGAUUCCCAAAGUCAAGAAGCCUAAACAUAUGUCAGAGUUUCGUCGUGCAACGUAAGCUAUAAAAUUAUUGCUAAAUCUUUGGCCAGUAGACUUGAAAGAGUUCUCGUUGUUAUUAUCUCACAUAAUCAAUUUGUCUUUCUUCCGGGAAGGUUAAUCACUAACAACGCUACCAUGGGCUUCAAGUGCAUUCAUGAUAUAAAUAACAAAAAAGUGGGGGUGGGUGGCCCUUAAGCUGGAUAUGAACAAGGCCUAUGACAGGGUUGAGUGACCUUUUCUGCAUGCUAUGCUUCUUUUCAUUGACCUCAACAUAGAAUGAGUGAGGACUAUUAUGAAUUGUGUGGAAUCAAUUUGUUUCUCGGUCCUUAUCAAUGGUAAGCCCUCCCUGAGGGAAUUUGCCCUUCAUAUAGGGGUCUUAAUCAAGGGAUCCUCUAUCUCCUCCUUACCUUUUCCUAAUCUGCACGGAAUGUUUGUCGAGCCUCCUUCAUAGAGCCUAGUCUCUGUCCCUUAUUCAUGGUCUUCGUCUCAAUAUACGUUGCCCUUUAAUUUUUCACUUAUUUUUUUGCUGAUGAUAGUCUUGUCGUCCUUAAAACGUGAAUCUUUGAGUGCAGGAGUAUGCCCUUCAGGUGUAUGAAAGAGCAUUCAGACAAAAAAUCGACAUUGACAAGUCUGAAUGCCUUGUUAACAAGAAUGUAAGAUCGCAGUUGGCUGAUGAGACUUGUGAGCUUCUUGGGGUGAGGAAAUAGAAUUCCUUGGGUACCUAUGGACCUUGGGAUGCCGGCUCAUAACUUCACGAAUAAAUCUCGUCUAUUUAAUAUGGUGAAGGAUAGAGUAUGGUAAGUCCGUAAGUGCUUGGGUGGAAGGAGAACCUUUUCUCGCUCAGUGGCAAAAAAGAGGCUAUUGCUCAAGCUAUUUCCUAAUUCCUAAUUACAUGAUAUUUUAAGGAUAUGUAAAAUAAUAUCUCCCUAUGAAAGUCAUAGUUUUAGUCGAUACAAUCCGUAAGGCUUAAUGGUAUAAAUUGGUUUUUUAAAA